UUUUAAGGAUGAGCAAAUAAAGCAGUUUCUUGCAACAGAAUCUGCUUUCAAUGAAGAUGCUGUGAA
rnacentral:pre_miRNA from 1 species